AAAAACUAAAUAAUAAAUUAUGAUGUCUCCAUUGAUAUUUAAUUAAUACCUCCUCAUUUUUAAAUGAGUGUAAUUCAAAAUUGUGAUAAAUAUAUUAAAUAAUGAUGUUGUAGUAUGCCUUAAAACAUUAAGUGAAGAAAAAAAUAUUUUAAGAUUACAAAAACUAGAAAUUAGUUAGAAAGUCGACAAAGACGACAUAGCAGCAAGGGAGGUUGGUGGCGGUGUUGGCGUGAUGAUGCAGAGUGAGACUUG
rnacentral:lncRNA from 1 species